rnacentral:rRNA from 1 species
UACAGAGGCCCCAAGCGUUACUGAGAAUCACUGGGUUUAAAGGGUGCGUAGGUGGCGCGUUAAGUCCGUUGUGAAAGCCCUGGGCUCAACCCAGGAACUGCUUCGGAUACUGGCGCGCUUGAGGCUAGUAGGGGUCACUGGAACUGACGGUGGGGCGGUGAAAUGCGUAGAUAUCGUCAGGAACGCCAAUGGUGAAGACAGGUGACUGGGCUAGUUCUGACACUGAGGCACGAAAGCGUGGGGAGCGAACGGG